AUUGAACGCUGGCGGCAGGCCUAACACAUGCAAGUCGAACGAGUGGCGGACGGGUGAGUAAUGUCUGGGAAACUGCCUGAUGGAGGGGGAUAACUACUGGAAACGGUAGCUAAUACCGCAUACCAUCAGAUGUGCCCAGAUGGGAUUAGCUUGUUGGUGGGGUAACGGCUCACCAAGGCGACGAUCCCUAGCUGGUCUGAGAGGAUGACCUGCCAGACGGGGACGGAGACACGGCCCAAAUGGCUACGGGAGGCAGAAGUGGGGAAUAUGGCGCAAUGGGCGAAAGCCUGAUGCAGCAAUGACGCGUGAAUGAAGAAGGCCUUCUGUUUGUAAAAUUCUGUCAGUAGGGAAGCGUUACCCGAAGAAGAAGCAACGGCUAACUCCGUGCCAGCAGCCGCGGUAAUUC
rnacentral:rRNA from 1 species